rnacentral:rRNA from 1 species
GAUGAACGCUGGCGGCGUGCCUAAUACAUGCAAGUCGAGCGAACAGACGAGGAGCUUGCUCCUCUGACGUUAGCGGCGGACGGGUGAGUAACACGUGGAUAACCUACCUAUAAGACUGGGAUAACUUCGGGAAACCGGAGCUAAUACCGGAUAAUAUAUUGAACCGCAUGGUUCAAUAGUGAAAGACGGUUUUGCUGUCACUUAUAGAUGGAUCCGCGCCGCAUUAGCUAGUUGGUAAGGUAACGGCUUACCAAGGCAACGAUGCGUAGCCGACCUGAGAGGGUGAUCGGCCACACUGGAGCUGAGACGCGGUCCAGACUCCUACGGGAGGCAGCAGUAGGGAAUCUUCCGCAAUGGGCGAAAGCCUGACGGAGCAACGCCGCGUGAGUGAUGAAGGUCUUCGGAUCGUAAAACGCUGUUAUUAGGGAAGAACAAUUGUGUAAGUAACUAUGCACGUCUUGACGGUACCUAAUCAGAAAGCCACGGCUAACUACGUG